GGGCCCGUAGUCGAAUGGUUAAGACGUCCGCUUGACAUGCGGGAGACUCGGAGUUCGAUUCUCCGCGGGCCCA
rnacentral:tRNA from 2 species